rnacentral:rRNA from 1 species
GUAGUGAAUCUUCCACAAUGGACGAAAGUCUGAUGGAGCAACGCCGCGUGAGUGAAGAAGGUUUUCGGAUCGUAAAACUCUGUUGUUGGAGAAGAACACGUUUGAGAGUAACUGUUCAGACGUUGACGGUAUCCAACCAGAAAGCCACGGCUAACUACGUGCCAGCAGCCGCGGUAAUACGUAGGUGGCAAGCGUUAUCCGGAUUUAUUGGGCGUAAAGCGAGCGCAGGCGGUUUUUUAAGUCUGAUGUGAAAGCCUUCGGCUUAACCGAAGAAGUGCAUCGGAAACUGGGAAACUUGAGUGCAGAAGAGGACAGUGGAACUCCAUGUGUAGCGGUGAAAUGCGUAGAUAUAUGGAAGAACACCAGUGGCGAAGGCGGCUGUCUGGUCUGUAACUGACGCUGAGGCUCGAAAGCAUGGGUAGCGAACAGGAUUAGAUACCCGUGUAGUCC